GGAUGUGAGGGUGAUCUGGCUGCGACAUCUGUCACCCCAUUGAUCACCAGGAUUGAUUCAGCUGAUCUGGCUGGCCAAGUAGGUGUCCCCAUCCUCCCUCACUGACCCAUGUGUGUCCCUCCUGAAGCUGUGCGCUGGAUCAAAGAGGACAACCUUACCCCCAGAGGAGAGGACUGGUAGAAGAUAUACGAGUAGCUGUGGUCCCCUGCUAGAACCUCCAAACAAGCUCUCAAAAUAUGAGUGUGAUGUAUUUAUUACACUUGAACUAUGUGAAUCAUACUAGAGAAGCAAUUUUUAAAAAAAUAUAUAUUUAUUG
rfam:Myotis davidii contig14652, whole genome shotgun sequence.